AUUGAACGCUGGCGGCAUGCUUUACACAUGCAAGUCGAACGGCAGCACGGACUUCGGUCUGGUGGCGAGUGGCGAACGGGUGAGUAAUACAUCGGAACGUACCCAGUAAUGGGGGAUAACUAUCCGAAAGGAUAGCUAAUACCGCAUACGCCCUACGGGGGAAAGAGGGGGAUCGCAAGACCUCUUGUUAUUGGAGCGGCCGAUGGCUGAUUAGCUAGUUGGUGGGGUAAAGGCCUACCAAGGCAACGAUCAGUAGCGGGUCUUAGAGGACGAUCCGCCACACUGGAACUGAGACACGGUCCAGACUCCUACGUGAGGCAGCAGUGGGGAAUCUUGGACAAUGGGCGCAAGCCUGAUCCAGCAAUGCCGCGUGCGUGAAGAAGGCCUUCGGGUUGUAAAGCGCUUUUGUCAGGGAGCAAAUCCUUGUGGCUAAUACCCACCGGGGAUGAGAGUACCUGAAGAAUAAGGACCGGCUAACUACGUGCCAGCAGCCGCCGUAAGAC
rnacentral:rRNA from 1 species